rnacentral:misc_RNA from 1 species
GCUUCAACAGUGACAACACUAUUUCCUCUGAUUACCACCAUGCCUAUGUCAGUUCUCUCAUCACCAUUCACCUCCACAGUGUUGUCAACCACCAAAUUCAUGAAUUGAUCAAAUCCACGAAGUGUUCCAACUACCAUCCUAUUUGCAUUCAGCUUAAUUUGAAGUUUCUUGUCCAUGUACUUCUUGAGAUCUGGAGGCUGGCCUGAUCUGCUCAUGUUGAGCGGCUUCGAUCGAGUGUGCUUUAC